rnacentral:lncRNA from 1 species
GAAACUCUCCAUCUCUUCAUCUUCAAUUCCAGCCGCCGGUCCACCCUUACUCCAAAAAUCAGUCACCCAUCAUCUAAAUCAAAAGUAGCGGCAAACAAUCCACCAUAACGAGCAUCCACCUCUGUAAUUGGUGGUGAUUUAGAAAUUCAAACAGAUAAUGCUUCUUUGAUUUAGAAAAUUCACAUUCUGUUUUAAGAUCGAGAGUGUGCGUAGAAGCAUGUCUAUGACAAAAAGCGAAUGAAGUUAUGAGUCAUUUGUUAUUAGUGGUCGAAUUUCUAACGAGACGGCUGAAAGCUGAAAAGAAACAGAAAAACAAAUGGAGUUCGAUUGAACCGAAAUUGGGUUUGCCAUUCGAGUUUUG